rnacentral:rRNA from 1 species
AGAACGAACGCUGGCGGCAUGCCUAACACAUGCAAGUCGAACGAGACCUUCGGGUCUAGUGGCGCACGGGUGCGUAACGCGUGGGAAUCUGCCCCUCGGUUCGGAAUAACAGUUAGAAAUGACUGCUAAUACCGGAUGAUGACGAAAGUCCAAAGAUUUAUCGCCGAGGGAUGAGCCCGCGUAGGAUUAGCUAGUUGGUGAGGUAAAGGCUCACCAAGGCGACGAUCCUUAGCUGGUCUGAGAGGAUGAUCAGCCACACUGGGACUGAGACACGGCCCAGACUCCUACGGGAGGCAGCAGUGGGGAAUAUUGGACAAUGGGCGAAAGCCUGAUCCAGCAAUGCCGCGUGAGUGAUGAAGGCCUUAGGGUCGUAAAGCUCUUUACCCGGGAUGAUAAUGACAGUACCGGGAGAAUAAGCUCCGGCUAACUCCGCGCCAGCAGCCGC